UAGAUGCUCUAGUUCUAGCGCUAAAAGGUCCAGGAGAUAUGGAGCCGAGCAUCGAACAUCCACAAACCGGCUAGGUUGGGGAUGGUAGAGAGCGAGCAAAUGAAUUGCUGUUAUCGGUUCAUUUCAACCCAAAUCGAGCUGAAUCUGAAGAUAAACUUGGAUCAAUUUUUGUUUUUAGCUCAAACUGGCAGUAAUUAGUGUCAAUGUACAGUGGUUCAGUCGAUGGCGAAGGCAAUGAAUCUGAUCUGUUCAGAGGAAGAUUCCGCCUGCCUCUUCUAUGUUAUCGGUUCGAAACUUGAGGAGAUUUAUUGGAUCCAGUGCUGAUCUCGGUUCCAAAGCUUUAAUAGUUUGUUCUUCAAGAAUCAUCUUCACCAGUACAAUAAACCUAUGAUUUCAGAACAUAUCUUAAUGGGCGGCUGAUAUUCAAACACUUUUCAGGUCAGAUCUUCAUUUGUAGUAUAUCAUGUUUUUAGUUUUGUCUUUCUGAACAUGGAAGUGAAAGAAGGGGAACAUCCAGAAGUUGAGAUGUUGCCCGAUACAUUCUUCCUAGAGAAUUACAGCUUCCCUAUUUUCCUACUUGUGGUACUUGAAGAAAAACCAUAGGUCUCAUACUGGGAGAUACAUGAAUUCAUAAAAAGUAUAUCUUGUGGGCCAAUUUGAAACCUCCAUUCACCAUUCAUAAUUUUUUUAAUCUGUUUCAGAGGAAGAUCAAUUUCCAAAUAUGAUCCCUACAUUUGAAAUGACGCCAAUAUUUCUUCUUUUCCCCCAGCUUAGUAAAUGACAAUACAGCUGUGUUGCAUACGAAAUGGAUAGAAGACAUAAUGGGGACGAGAUUACGGGGCAUGGCGAAACAAGCAAGAAGAAAGUGCACAUAAUAGAGAAACACAUUUAGUUAGUUGUAUGCUUGCUGAAUCUGUUGUAUAUAAAAUAAAUCUAACAUCUAAUUGUAAAUUUUUAACUAUUGUUAGAGAUCUGUAACUUAAUUAUGAGUUGAGUGCAUUUGAUCAACAUAAAAGCAAAAUAUAAAGAAAUAAUAUACUUUGUU